rnacentral:rRNA from 1 species
AACGAACGCUGGCGGCAGGCUUAACACAUGCAAGUCGAGCGCCCCGCAAGGGGAGCGGCAGACUGGUGAGUAACGCGUGGGAAUCUACCCAUCUCUACGGAAUAACGCAGGGAAACGUGUGCUAAUACCGUAUACGUCCUUCGGGAGAAAGAUUUAUCGGAGAUGGAGGAGCCCGCGUUGGAUUAGCUAGUUGGUGGGGUAAAGGCCUACCAAGGCGACGAUCCAUAGCUGGUCUGAGAGGAUGGUCAGCCACACUGGGACUGAGACACGGCCCAAACUCCUCCGGGAGGCAGAAGUGGGGAAUAUUGGACAAUGGGCGCAAGCCUGAUCCAGCCAUGCCGCGUGAGUGAUGAAGGCCCUAGGGUUGUAAAGCUCUUUCACCGGUGAAGAUAAUGACGGUAACCGGAGAAGAAGCCCCGGCUAACUUCGUGCCAGCCGCCGCGGUAAUAC